AACGAACGCUGGCGGCAGGCCUAACACAUGCAAGUCGAACGCACCGCUAGGUGAGUGGCGCACGGGUGAGUAACACGUGGGAAUGUAUCCUUUGGUUCGGAAUAACGUUUGGAAACGAACGCUAAUACCGGAUGAGCCCUGUGGGGGAAAGAUUUAUCGCCAAAGGAGCAGCCCGCGUCUGAUUAGGUAGUUGGUGGGGUAAUGGCCUACCAAGCCGACGAUCAGUAGCUGGUCUGAGAGGAUGAUCAGCCACACUGGGACUGAGACACGGCCCAGACUCCUACGGGAGGCAGCAGUGGGGAAUAUUGGACAAUGGGCGCAAGCCUGAUCCAGCCAUGCCGCGUGAGUGAUGAAGGCCUUCGGGUUGUAAAGCUCUUUCGCACACGACGAUGAUGACGGUAGUGUGAGAAGAAGCCCCGGCUAACUUCGUGCCAGCCGCCGCGGUAAUAC
rnacentral:rRNA from 1 species